UACGUAGGUGGCAAGCGUUAUCCGGAUUUACUGGGUGUAAAGGGCGUGUAGGCGGGAAAGCAAGUCAGAUGUGAAAACCACGGGCUCAACCUGUGGCCUGCAUUUGAAACUGUUUUUCUUGAGUACUGGAGAGGCAGACGGAAUUCCCAGUGUAGCGGUGAAAUGCGUAGAUAUUAGGAGGAACACCAGUGGCGAAGGCGGUCUGCUGGACAGCAACUGACGCUGAGGCGCGAAAGCGUGGGGAGCAAACAGG
rnacentral:rRNA from 1 species